rnacentral:misc_RNA from 1 species
AUCGUUGCCCCCCCAAACUCCGGUUCGGGCGGGGCGGAAGUUGGCCUCCCGUGCGUGCCUGCGCGCGCGGUUAGCCCAAAAGCGAGUCCUCGGCGACGAUCGCCACGACAAUCGGUGGUUUUCUUGCCCUCGUUCCUCGUCGUGCGUGCCUCGUCGCUCGAACGCGCUCUUUGACCCUCACGCGUCGUCGCCUCGGCGGCGCUCCCAA